rnacentral:lncRNA from 1 species
UGUGCAGACAGAUGUGCUCACUGGCUGUGUGCAAUUAGAUUAUUCCAUGGCUUUGCUGGACCAUGUGAGCUGAGCUAGCACUUGCCUCAAUGUGUCAUUCCAUCUCUCCUCCCGUCUGCUGCCUGUGCUGCUGCGCUGUGACUGUCCGGUGUCAGUGUGCCCGCCUGGGAACUCCUGCUUCAGGUGAGUGUUGGUGGCCUUGCAUGAGAAAUGAAGAAUAGUGAAGACAGAAAUAUAGACGUAGAGGAUGGAUGAGUGGUUUUUCUUCAUCCUGUGUUCUUUGGCUGGAAAAUGGGUGUUGUGGAGCAGCUUCUCUCUGCAAACUGUUCUUCACUUAUACUGUUUCUACAUCAGUGAUAACUGUGCAACUAUUAAUACUGAAAGUAAGGGCAGCAGCUGCACGCUCUACAUCAGAUGGAUCCGUGACUCUUCCAGCAAGAAGCAAGCACAGCCAUCAAAACAUACUGUUGGUGGUGUCUGAUGUUGUGUUUCAAGAGAGACUUUUUCUGAGGAGCAAUGAGUUGCUCCUCUG